rnacentral:rRNA from 1 species
UGCAGUCGAACGGCAGCACGGGGGCAACCCUGGUGGCGAGUGGCGAACGGGUGAGUAAUACAUCGGAACGUGUCCUGUAGUGGGGGAUAGCCCGGCGAAAGCCGGAUUAAUACCGCAUACGCUCUACGGAGGAAAGGGGGGGAUCUCAGGACCUCCCGCUACAGGGGCGGCCGAUGGCAGAUUAGCUAGUUGGUGGGGUAAAGGCCUACCAAGGCGACGAUCUGUAGCUGGUCUGAGAGGACGACCAGCCACACUGGGACUGAGACACGGCCCAGACUCCUACGGGAGGCAGCAGUGGGGAAUUUUGGACAAUGGGCGAAAGCCUGAUCCAGCAAUGCCGCGUGUGUGAAGAAGGCCUUCGGGUUGUAAAGCACUUUUGUCCGGAAAGAAAACCUCCGCCCUAAUAUGGUGGGGGGAUGACGGUACCGGAAGAAUAAGCACCGGCUAACUACGUGCCAGCAGCCGCGGUAAUACGUAGGGUGCAAGCGUUAAUCGGAAUUACUGGGCGUAAAGCGUGCGCAGGCGGUCCGCUAAGACAGAUGUGAAAUCCCCGGGCUUAACCUGGGAACUGCAUUUGUGACUGGCGGGCUAGAGUAUGGCAGAGGGGGGUAGAAUUCCACGUGUAGCAGUGAAAUGCGUAGAGAUGUGGAGGAAUACCGAUGGCGAAGGCAGCCCCCUGGGCCAAUACUGACGCUCAUGCACGAAAGCGUGGGGAGCAAACAGGAUUAGAUACCCUGGUAGUCCACGCCCUAAACGAUGUCAACUAGUUGUUGGGGAUUCAUUUCCUUAGUAACGUAGCUAACGCGUGAAGUUGACCGCCUGGGGAGUACGGUCGCAAGAUUAAAACUCAAAGGAAUUGACGGGGACCCGCACAAGCGGUGGAUGAUGUGGAUUAAUUCGAUGCAACGCGAAAAACCUUACCUACCCUUGACAUGUAUGGAACCC